CGCUCUCUCCCUCCGUUCCGAAUUACUUGUUGCAGGUAUGGAUGUAUCUAGAUGUAUUUUAGUUCUAGAUACAUCCAUUUCUUCGAUGAGUAAUUUGGAACGGAGGGAGUAGUUG
rnacentral:pre_miRNA from 1 species